rnacentral:rRNA from 1 species
AUUGAACGCUGGCGGCAGGCCUAACACAUGCAAGUCGAACGAGUGGCGGACGGGUGAGUACUGUCUGGGAAACUGCCCGAUGGAGGGGGAUAACUACUGGAAACGGUAGCUAAUACCGCAUACCCUCGGAGGUGCCCAAAUGGGAUUAGCUAGUAGGGGGGGUAACGGCUCACCUAGGCGACGAUCCCUACCUGUGCUGAGAGGAUGAACAGCCACACUGGAACGGAGACACGGCCCAGAAUCCUACGGGAGGCAGCAGUGGGGAAUAUUGCACAAUGGGCGCAAGCCUGAUGCAGCCAUGCCGCGGGUAUGAAGAAGGCCUUCGGGUUGUAAAGUACUUUCAGCGAGGAGGCGUUACUCGCAGAAGAAGCACCGGCUAACUCCGUGUCAGCCGCCGCGGUAAUAC